rnacentral:rRNA from 1 species
UGUGGUUUAAUUCGAAGCAACGCGAAGAACCUUACCAGGUCUUGACAUCCCCUGGCAACCCGAGAGAUCGGGCGUUCCCCGUUCGGGGGGACAGGGUGACAGGUGGUGCAUGGUUGUCGUCAGCUCGUGUCGUGAGGUGUUGGGUUAAGUCCCGCAACGAGCGCAACCCUCGACCUUAGUUGCCAGCAUUCAGUUGGGCACUCUAAGGUGACUGCCGGCUAAAAGUCGGAGGAAGGUGGGGAUGACGUCAAAUCAUCAUGCCCCUUAUGACCUGGGCUACACACGUGCUACAAUGGGCGGUACAAAGGGUCGCGAACCCGCGAGGGGGAGCCAAUCCCAAAAAGCCGCUCUCAGUUCGGAUUGCAGGCUGCAACUCGCCUGCAUGAAGCCGGAAUCGCUAGUAAUCGCGGAUCAGCAUGCCGCGGUGAAUACGUUCCCGGGCCUU